UCAAAAGUAUGUCUUCAAUAAUGUUGCAGG
rnacentral:piRNA from 1 species